rnacentral:piRNA from 1 species
GUUAAAUGAACAAUUAAGGUGUCU